rnacentral:rRNA from 1 species
AUUGAACGCUGGCGGACUGCUUUACACAUGCAAGUCGAACGGCAGCACGGACUUCGGUCUGGUGGCGAGUGGCGCACGGGUGAGUAAUGUAUCUGGACGUUCCCAGUCGUGGGGGAUAACGUAGAGAAAAUUACGCUAAUACCGCAUACGAUCUAUGGAUGAAAGCGGGGGAUCGCAAGACCUCCCGCGAUUGGAGCGGCCGAUAUCCGAUUAGGUAGUUGGUGGGGUAAAGGCCCACCAAGCCAACGAUCUGUAGCUGGUCUGAGAGGACGACCAGCCACACUGGAACUGAGACACGGUCCAGAAUCCUACGGGAGGCAGCAGUGGGGAAUUUUGGACAAUGGGCGAAAGCCUGAUCCAGCCAUUCCGCGUGCAGGAUGAAGGCCCUCGGGUUGUAAACUGCUUUUGUACAGAACGAAAAGGUUUCUACUAAUACUAGGAGCUCAUGACGGUACUGUAAGAAUAAGCACCGGCUAACUACGUGCCAGCCGCCGCAGUAA